rnacentral:SRP_RNA from 1 species
GCCGGGCGUGGUGGCGCACACCUGUAGUCCCAGCUACUCGGGAGGCUGAGACAGAAGAAUUGCUUGAACCUGGGAGGUGGAGGUUGCAGUGAGCCAAGAUCGUGCCACUGCACUCCAGCCUGGGCAACAGAGCGAGACUCUGUCUCAA